GGAGUGUUGGAGUGACCUGUAAAGAAAAUUCGAGUAGGAGAUUUUCGCUCUUACGAGGAUCCUCCGACACUCAAAUCAAAUUCAGAGAAUAAAAAAAGUAGCAAUGAGUUCUUUGAGACAGAUUGCUUAACGUACCUUGAUCCUCGGAGUUUUGAUGAUUUAUAAAGAAUGUCGUCGAACAGCUAUAAGAUUGCGCAAUUCCGAGAUUGUAGGGCCAUUCAACAUACCAUAGCGGGCGAGAUAUUUCAGUCAUCAAUGACUCCCAUGAAAUCAGGGGAGUUAGUUACGCUUGAGCCCAUCCACUUGGGGUGGACAGCUAUAGCACGUAUCUAAAAGCUGAUCAGCUGAGGUUAUGGAAGGUUGGUCGAGGCAAAUAGCUCGUGGAACAGAUCAGAAGCUAAUAGCUUUGCUUUAUGUACCUCAGCUCUGCACUUGGAUCAGCGACUGCAUGGAUAGCCCACUGAUCAGAGGUAUCAAUGACAGCAUGCCAGAUCCAAGGCAUUCAGAAUACUAUCGUAACACUACCCCCCCUAUUUCUGAGUCUAAGAAUCAGACAAAAGGAG
rnacentral:lncRNA from 1 species